UACGUAGGGUGCAAGCGUUGUCCGGAAUUAUUGGGCGUAAAGAGCUUGUAGGCGGUUUGUCGCGUCUGCUGUGAAAUUUCGGGGCUCAACCCCGAACUUGCAGUGGGUACGGGCAGACUAGAGUGUGGUAGGGGAGACUGGAAUUCCUGGUGUAGCGGUGAAAUGCGCAGAUAUUAGGAGGAACACCGGUGGCGAAGGCGCCGCUCUGGGCCGAAACUGACGCUGAGGAGCGAAAGCAUGGGUAGCAAACAGG
rnacentral:rRNA from 1 species